rnacentral:rRNA from 1 species
GACGAACGCUGGCGGCGUGCCUAAUACAUGCAAGUUGAGCGAUGAAGAUUGGUGCUUGCACCAAUUUGAAGAGCAGCGAACGGGUGAGUAACGCGUGGGGAAUCUGCCUUUGAGCGGGGGACACCAUUUGGAAACGAAUGCUAAUACCGCAUAACAACUUUAAACAUAAGUUUUAAGUUUGAAAGAUGCAAUUGCAUCACUCAAAGAUGAUCCCGCGUUGUAUUAGCUAGUUGGUGAGGUAAAGGCUCACCAAGGCGAUGAUACAUAGCCGACCUGAGAGGGUGAUCGGCCACAUUGGGACUGAGACACGGCCCAAACUCCUACGGGAGGCAGCAGUAGGGAAUCUUCGGCAAUGGACGAAAGUCUGACCGAGCAACGCCGCGUGAGUGAAGAAGGUUUUCGGAUCGUAAAACUCUGUUGGUAGAGAAGAACGUUGGUGAGAGUGGAAAGCUCAUCAAGUGACGGUAACUACCCAGAAAGGGACGGCUAACUACGUG